rnacentral:rRNA from 1 species
AGCUUGCUCUUAUGAAGUUAGCGGCGGACGGGUGAGUAACACGUGGGUAACCUACCCAUAAGACUGGGAUAACUCCGGGAAACCGGGGCUAAUACCGGAUAAUAUUUUGAACUGCAUAGUUCGAAAUUGAAAGGCGGCUUCGGCUGUCACUUAUGGAUGGACCCGCGUCGCAUUAGCUAGUUGGUGAGGUAACGGCUCACCAAGGCGACGAUGCGUAGCCGACCUGAGAGGGUGAUCGGCCACACUGGGACUGAAACACGGCCCAAACUCCUACGGGAGGCAGCAGUAGGGAAUCUUCCGCAAUGGACGAAAGUCUGACGGAGCAACGCCGCGUGAGUGAUGAAGGCUUUCGGGUCGUAAAACUCUGUUGUUAGGGAANAACAAGUGCUAGUUGAAUAAGCUGGCACCUUGACGGUACCUAACCAGAAAGCCACGGCUAACUACGUGCCAGCAGCCGCGGUAAUACGUAGGUGGCAAGCGUUAUCCGGAAUUAUUGGGCGUAAAGCGCGCGCAGGUGGUUUCUUAAGUCUGAUGUGAAAGCCCACGGCUCAACCGUGGAGGGUCAUUGGAAACUGGGAGACUUGAGUGCAGAAGAGGAAAGUGGAAUUCCAUGUGUAGCGGUGAAAUGCGUAGAGAUAUGGAGGAACACCAGUGGCGAAGGCGACUUUCUGGUCU